UACAGAGGGUGCAAGCGUUAAUCGGAAUUACUGGGCGUAAAGCGCGCGUAGGUGGUUUGGUAAGUCGGUUGUGAAAUCCCCGGGCUUAACCUGGGAAUUGCAGUCGAUACUGCCUGACUCGAGUGUGGAAGAGGGAAGCGGAAUUUCCGGUGUAGCGGUGAAAUGCGUAGAUAUCGGAAGGAACACCAGUGGCGAAGGCGGCUUCCUGGUCCAACACUGACAUUGAGGCGCGAAAGCGUGGGUAGCGAACAGG
rnacentral:rRNA from 1 species